rnacentral:rRNA from 1 species
AAAAUAACUCUCGGCAAUGGAUAUCUUAACUCUUGCAUCGAUGAANAACGNAGCGAAAUGCGAUACUUGGUGUGAAUUGCAGAAUCUCAUGAACCAUCGAGUCUUUGAACGCAAGCUGCGCCCGAAGCUGUCAGGCUGAUGGCACAUCUGCCUGGGCGUCACGC